CCGUGCUAAGCGGGGAGGUAGCGGUGCCCUGUACUCGCAAUCCGCUCUAGCGAGGCCGAAUCCCUUCAUAGAGGGUAGUUAUUGUAGGGUCUGACUCAAGUAAGUGGUGUUGACGUCUGGGUCCUACGCAAUGGGAACCCGUGAACCCUGUCAGGUCCGGAAGGAAGCAGCAGUAAGCGGACUCUCCCAUGUGCCGUAGGGUUGCCUGGACCGAGCUAACUGCUUGAGUAACGCCUGGGGUAACUAUUCGACGGAAGGUGCACGG
rnacentral:SRP_RNA from 2 species